rnacentral:lncRNA from 1 species
AAGGAGCUGGUCUCUGUUUGACCCUGGGUGCUUCUCCAUCCUGAGAGGUCUGGGCUUUUGAAUUCACUGCAUACACAGAGCUGGCCCUGCUGUCUUCGCUAGUCACUUCCCUGCUAUCUUUAAUGCAUUGUUCUGGGUCUUGGCCACAUCUUCCAAAAUAACUGUGCAGUUGUCAUCCUUGCUCGGUUGACUGUUUUGGAACAUUGACCUAGCUCGGUGAUGUGAGGGGAUGCAGGAAGGGCCCAGCUGUCGGGAGGCCCAGGGACGUCAGGAUGCUGGGGGCGGAUAGGAAGUCACGGGGGCCUGGGCUGCAGGAGCUCCCCAGGGGCCCAGGGGUGGCACGGUUUCUGGCAGGUGUUCAGUCUCAGUGAGGGGAGUUGGGGAAGAGGGAGGAGGAAGGAAAGGGAGGAUGGGGGUAGGUGGGAGGGAAGCUGUCCUCAGAGCUGAGGAAGAGGCAGAGGAGGAAAGUAGUUCACAGAAGAAGGGGAGGAAAGAGAAGAUGGAGUCGAGGGCACUUCUGGUGGUUUUUUAAAAAUCGAAGUACAGUUGAUGUACAAUGUUGUAUUAAUUUCUGCUCUACAGCAAAGUGACUUGGCUACACACACACACACACACACACACACACAUAUUCUUUUUAAUACUCUUUUCCAUUAUUGUUUAUCUCAGGAUAUUGAAUAUAUUUCUCUGUGCUAUAGAGUAGGACCUUGUUAUUUAUCCAUUCUGUGUUUAAUAGUUUGCGUCUGCUAAUCCCAAACUCCCAGUCCUUCCUUCCCCUGACCCCCUCUCCUUUGGCAGCCACAAGUCUGUUCUCUAUGUCUGUGAGCCUGUUUCUGUUUGGUAGGUAGAUUCAUGGGUGUCAUGCUUUGGAUCCCACAUAUAAGUGAUAUUAUAUGGUAUUUGUCUUUCUCUUUCUAAUUUACUUCACUUAGUAUGAUAAUCUGUAGUUCCAUCCAAGUUGCUGCAAAUGGCAUUCUUUCAAUCUUUUUAAAGGCUGAGUAGUAUUCCAUUGUGUUUAUGCACAUCGUUUUUGUCCAUUCAUUCAUUGAUAGACUUUUAGGUUUUUUCCACGUCUUGGCUAUUGUGUAUAGUGCUGCUAAGAGCAUAGGGGUUCAACAUGUAUCUUUUGGAAUUGUAGUUUUGUCUGGGUAUAUGCCCAGGAGUGGGACUGCUGGGUCCUACGGUUAAAUUUUAUUUUCAGUUUUUUGAAGACCCCACAUAAUGUUUUCCAUAGUGGCUGCAUCAAUUUUUAUUCCCACCAACAGUGCAGGAGGGUACCCUUUUCUCCACACCCUCGCCAUCAUUUGUUAUUUGUAGACUUUUUAAUGAUAGCCAUUCUGAUUGGUGUGAGGCAAUAUCUCAUUGUGGUUUUGACUUGCAUUUCUCUAAUAAACCAGUGGUAUUUUGAUAUACCAUUUAGAGAGUAAUUUCUGUAGCCUGGAGAAUCUGUCCAUGAUAGAAAAAGUAAGUGGAGCAAGGGAGUGUGAUGACUAACAGGCAGCCUGAUGUUGAGUCAGAUGACACCCUGUAGUCUUUAGCGGUGUGAUUGGGGUCAGACACCUUCGCAGCUCCAAGCAUCUCUGCGGAGAAGGCGGAACAGAGCCUUUUCGAAGGUGUUAUGAUGGAGAAGGGCAGGUGAGUUUUAAAGGGCCAAAGUGAAAUUCUCCUUUCUGUUGACAUUUUCUCUUGACUUCAUGGGCCUAUAGAAAUAGCAUAUCAUGAAUUUAAAACACUAGUUUCAUUGCUUCUUGUACUGCCAUCAUCUCAUAGGAUCGCUAGCCCCUUCAAAGUCUGCUCCUAGUGUCUAGGGUCCUAUGAUGUGAUAUAAAUUUUAUAUAUAUAUAUGGGUUCCAUAUAUGUGUGUGUAUGUGUGUGUGUGUGUGUGUGUGUGUGUAUAGACAGGUUUUGUCCCCCUGUCUGGCACAGAGCUCCUAAGACUUUUGGAAUUUUCCGAGACCAGAGUGAUAAAGGUGUCUUCUGUUAUGUUAAUGAGGUGACUUUUGGAAAGUCCUUUCCUCACCUAUGAAUGGGGGCUGGUUGCCAGGGGAUCCAACCCCCAGGAUUAAGAUUGGCACUUUCAGUCUACCCUCCACGUCCAGGAGGGGAGGGGCACUGGAGGUUGGGAUCAGUCGCCAAUGGCCAAUGUUGUAAUCCCGCACGCCCAGAAAGGGCGGGGUUACCUGCAAGGAGAGGGCGUGGAGCUCCUCCCCCUCCCACACGCCCCGCCCUUGUAUCGCUUCCGUUUUCCACCUGGCCGCUCCUGUGUUCAAUCCAUUUACAGUAAACCGGUGAUCUAGUAGGUAAAAGUUUUCUCUUGAUUUCUAUGAGCCACUCUGUGGUAUAAAUACUUUCACCACAGUGGGUUCCAAGCUACCAAUGUGAUUGUCAGCUGGCUUGCAAACUUCCUGAAAAGGUAACCUUCGGUACUCUUGAUGGAUCCAGUGGGCUGCAGUACCUGAGUGACCAUCACCCAAAUCAAGACUUAGAACAUUUCCAUGCCCCCACCAGUUACCUGGUGCCCCCUUGGGGUCAGUCCUCACCUCCUUCCUAAGCAAACUACUCUUCUGAUUUCUCUCACAACAGAUUAGAUUUUUCAUACGCUAGAACCUCAUAGAAAUACAGUAGACAUAGAUUUUUUUUUUGGUCUGGCUUUUUUCCCAUGAGAUUUGUGGUUCACCAGUAUUUCUGUUUAUCUGGUUAUUUGUCUUUUCUAUUGUGCGGUUGUAUUUCAUUGUAGGGAUAGACUACAGUCUAUUUCUUUGUUCAUGGACAUUUGGGUUGUUGACAGUGUUGGGCUUUUCUAAGUAAUCUUGAAAGUACUUGAGAGAGAAUGAGAGCAGGAAGUUCUAAUAUUCUUGGCAACGACUUUUCUGGUGGAAAGAAGAGAUGACCCAUCAAGACCUUGAUGCUUUAGGUUUUACUGAUGAAAAUAAAAGAGCAUCUCUGAAAGUGUCCAGCACGUAGCUGACAUUCAAUACAUGUUAGUGGAAGCUCAAUUCAGCAAAAUUUUGUUUCUAGGCCCAAUGACCAGAAGUAGAUUGAUUUUUGAAGGGUCAGAAUUUACCUUUCUAGGGAAAAGAAAAUCUACUAUUAAAGAAAAAACCUCAGAGAAUCCACCUUCUCAUUUGAUAUAUCCAUUCUAGGAAUAUUUCACAAUUCUAACAAUUAGGGGAGAUUUUCUGCAUUACAAUUGUAUAUUAUAUUUUAAAAACCUAAUUACUAUAUAUAUUAUCUGAUUUACUUUAUAUAUUUCCUUUUUAAUUUAUAUACAUGAUCUCAUUUAAAUUUUGCUGUCAUACUGCAAGGUAAACCUCUUCCCCGCUUUAAAGAUAAGAGAAACUGAAGCUCAGAGAUGUUAAGUAACUUUCCCAAGUUCACAAAGCUCGUGGGAAUUUGAUCUCAGUUGUCUGAUGCCAAAAUUCAUGCUUAUUUCACUGCACGGUGCAGCCUUAACGUUUGUUCACACCUCAGGGCAGAUGGGCAGCACUUACUAUUGAAACAAUUGCUGCCCAUUUUCCUCAACUCCCAUUAAGUAAGCAAAACAUACUGUAUUUUUCACUUUCUUUUUAGAUUUCAUUAGAACACUUCCAAUACUGCCUAAUUUCAGCAAAUUUAAGCAACUGCAGAAAAGUUUGCGUUGGCAAGUCAGCACGCGACAGAGUGCUCAGCAGGUGGCGCUGUUGCCACGCUAUAGAGAUGACAUGCACCCUCCUGCCGCCACCAGGGGCUGCUGUGCUGCCCCGGAGAAGUGUGACUGCUGAGAGCGCUGGGGUCCGUUCUUCCUCCCUGCAGCUGGCACCAGAGACCUGAAGCAAUCUCAGUGUUUUCUUUUCCUCCAGUGUGCGAACCUGCAGUCCCAGUGUCUCCAGUCAGCCAGAGCUCUUCUGUUACUAUGCUUCUAGACCAAGUUUAAUCUGUUCAGUUUAUGUUCAGCUCUCCUAGAAAAAUACAAAACUGUGCAGAGCUCAGAGUCCAUCUCCUCUCUUCCUAACCUGUUAUCUUCCAAGAUAUAGUUUGGAUCUUACACAUUCCAGAUCCAAGGCACUUUCACGACAGUAUUCUGUCCUGGCUUCUCAGGCUCGGAUCACUGUGAAAGGUGAGAGGCGUGAAAGGAUAUUCUGAACAAGCCAGACACCGUGAUGGAUAGAUAGCGGUGUCUCAGCUCCACCCUGGCAUUUGUCCUCCAGCAGAAGCCUGCCAUUGAGAUUCAAAACUGGAUUCUAUGAACACGCUGUCACUUAAAGCAAAUAUUAAUUUCUUUGGCAAGUCUCUCUUUACAGAGGGGCAGAAGGAGCACCCCUCUUUGUCCUGUUCUUGCCGCAUUUGCACCUGAAGGUUUCAGCAGAGCCAGGUGAGAAGGUGAGACCAGGAGGCUGCGUGCCCACCGUAGGAGGGGAUUGCUGCACACUGGCUAUGUCCUUUCCAAGGCUGUCUUCUGGGCCAGUCCUGGCAGAGAGCAGAAGGCUGCAGGCUUCUGGACACUGUAUCUUCUAUCCUACCUGUGGGAUCAGCAACUUCCUGAAGUCCCAAAGUCUUCCAUUUACCUGCACAGGCGUUGUCUUCUAGGAAGUUCCUCCCUCUCAGGCAGGAGGAGGAGGGAAGAUGGAAAAUCCAAGAUCAGAAAUGGAAGGAUGUAAAUCCGGUAGGAAUUGGUCCACUCUGUGUGUCAGAGGAGAGUGUGAAAUUUUGGAUGGAGAGGAACCUGAGACAGUGGGUCUUCCCUGAACCUUUGCUCUGUUUCCAGGAGUGAUGUAAGAAGGGCAGGAAGGGAGGGAAGGCAGCAUUCACGCAUCUCACAUCUUAGACGCUUGGCUGAAAGCUUCUGGGCCCUGUGUGAGCCCUACUGCCAGCCCAGGGUGUAGGUAACAGAGGGCACAGAGUCCAGGCCAAGCAGACCUGAGUUUGAAUCCUUGACCCACAGCUUACAGGGCCAUGGCUGCAACCAGAGCUGGCUUUCUCACAUGCAAAAUAUGGAUGUAAUUCUACCUCCCAAGUGUGUUGUGUCAGCAGUAAUACAUAUAUGGAGUUCCUGUUGUGGCUCAGCAGUAACAAACCUGACUAGUAUUCAUGAGGUUGUUGGUUUGAUCCCUGGCCCUGCUCAGUGGUUAAGGAUUGGGCGUUGCCGUGAGCUGUGGUGUAGGUUGAAGACUCGGCUCAGAUCCAGUGUUGCUGUGGCUGUGGCACAGAACAGCAGCUGCAGCUCUGACUUGACCCCUGGCCUGGGAAUUUCCAAAUGCCUCGGGUGUGGCCCUAAAAGGCAACCCCCCAAAAAACAAAGAAAACACAUCCUACUCUCCAAAAGCUAUCACAUAAAAAAAUAAUCACCAAACUUUUGGCCAGUUAUUAUUUGUGAUAUGAAAAUUAUUGAAAAUCCUUGAACUUUAGGCAAUAUCAAGCAGCCAGGACCGAGAGGUGAAUCUGCUUCCCUGGGAAGGCGGAGGUUCCUGGCUCCCUGACUCCCUCCUGCCCCAUCCUAGCUAGCCCCCUGAGGACUGGCCACCAUGGCCUGGCUUCUCUUUGCAGGAGGGAAAGUUUGUUUCUCCCAUGAAAAAGUCCAGAUAGUUCAAGCCAAAGAAGGACCUUGAAUCAGGUCCUGGUCAGCUUCAGAUGAGUGUGAUUACAGGAACUGAAUUAAUGGAGUAAUUCUUUAAGUAACGUGCCCUGACUCCUGCCCACCCCUCCAGUAUUAAUCUGCACCACAUUCCCCACCUUGACCCCUGCUGCCCACCUGGGUGUCCCUGGCCCCGUGCCUGGUGAGCACGUGCAUCCUUCAGUGGCGCCCCUCCCCUGUAUCAUCCUGCCUCAGCCCCUUGUUGGUUGGGUCUGUCGCUUCCUUUUUUUUUUUUUUUUUUAAGAUUUUGCAUUUUUAAUUUUAUUUUUGCUUUUUAGGGCUGCUCUGGUGGCACAUGGAGGUCUCCAGGCUAGGGGUCAAACCAGAGCAUCAUAGCCACAGUAACACGGGAUCUGAACCAGAUCUGAGACCUGCCCCACAGCUCAUGGCAAUGCCAGAUCCUUAACCACUCACUGAGCAGGGCCAGAGAUUGAACCCACAUCCUCAUGGGUAGUAACCAGUUCGUAACCCACCGAGCUACAACGGGAACUCCUGUCCCCUCCUUGAUGCCUGUGGGAUUGAGACAUCUGUCCUAGACACCCCGCCCUUCACUGCAUGCGCCUAUGUUCUUGUCCGAAUCUUCCUGGCCGUCGCCUCCUUGAGGGGCACAGCUACCUUCCCACCUCCAGCACGCAACCCGAGGGCGAGCCCAGCAUGGUAGACGCUAGUAGGUGUUUGGAGAGUGAAUGGAGGAAGGGAUAAAACUUCCCUUUUAUUUAGAAGGAAUUUAUACCCAUAGAGGUUUCCAUAGAAACCAAGCCAAGCCAGUGUCUCUUGGAACCCUACCGGUAUUUUACGCCUUAGACCGCUGGCAUGCUGUGUUCAUUGUUGCUCUAUCUAUCUAGGAAUAUGUUUACAUUUUUAAGUUAUUCCCAGAGGAAGAAGUUCACUUUCACAUGCUCAUAUCUUAAAUCCUUCAGGAGUUCCCAUGGUGGCUCAGCGGGUUACGAACCCAACUAGCAUUCAUGAGAAUACAGGUUCAAUCCCUGACCUCGCUCAGUGGGUUAAGGAUCUGGUUGCCGUGAGCUGUGGUGUAGAUUGCAGAUGCAAUUCGGAUCUGGUGUUGCUGUGGCUGUGAUGAAGGCCAGUGGCUACAGCUCUGAUUCC